AUUGAACGCUGGCGGCAGGCCUAACACAUGCAAGUCGAGCGGAUGAAGAGAGCUUGCUCUCUGAUUCAGCGGCGGACGGGUGAGUAAUGCCUAGGAAUCUGCCUGGUAGUGGGGGACAACGUUUCGAAAGGAACGCUAAUACCGCAUACGUCCUACGGGAGAAAGCAGGGGACCUUCGGGCCUUGCGCUAUCAGAUGAGCCUAGGUCGGAUUACCUAGUAGGGGAGGUAAAGGCUCACCUAGGCGACGAUCCGUAACUGGUCUGAGAGGAUGAUCAGUCACACUGGAACUGAGACACGGUCCAGACUCCUACGGGAGGCAGCAGUGGGGAAUAUUGGACAAUGGGCGAAAGCCUGAUCCAGCCAUGCCGCGUGUGUGAAGAAGGUCUUCGGAUUGUAAAGCACUUUAAGUUGGGAGGAAGGGCAGUAAGUUAAUACCUUGCUGUUUUGAAGUUACCAACAGAAUAAGCACCGGCUAACUUCGUGCCAGCCGCCGCAGUAACAC
rnacentral:rRNA from 1 species